GAUGAACGCUGGCGGCGUGCCUAAUACAUGCAAGUCGAGCGAACAGACGAGGAGCUUGCUCCUCUGACGUUAGCGGCGGACGGGUGAGUAACACGUGGAUAACCUACCUAUAAGACUGGGAUAACUUCGGGAAACCGGAGCUAAUACCGGAUAAUAUAUUGAACCGCAUGGUUCAAUAGUGAAAGCCGGUUUUGCUGUCACUUAUAGAUGGAUCCGCGCCGCAUUAGCUGGUUGGUAAGGUAACGGCUUACCAAGGCAACGAUGCGUGGCCGACCUGGGAGGGGGAGGGGCCACAGGGAAACGAAAAAAGGGGCCAAAACCGCAGGGGGGGGAAAAGGAGGGAAAUUGCGGAAAGGGGGAAAAGCUUAAGGGGGAAAGGGGGGGGGGGGAGGAAGGGUUUUGGGAUGGUAAAACCUUUUUAUUAGGAAAAAAAAAAGGGGAAAGAAACAAGGAAGGUUUGGAGGGUACCAAAUAAAAAAACCAGGGCUAACAAGGU
rnacentral:rRNA from 1 species